UUGUUUCCGAGACGGCGAGGCCCUACCUUCUUGGUUCGUUGUCAGUUGAAUCAUGAGGUUCUGAGAGAAAGAGGUGCCAUUUUUAGACCUUUUUAUUUUUUGAGGUUUUGAAUUUUGAUGUUGGCUUAAUUAGCUGGAUUGCCACUUGUGAGGCAUUUCUUAGAAUGUGGACAUUUGGUGGGUUUUAGUUGGUUCCGGUUGGCGGUUCGUGAGCUUGCUAUUAUUCUUGACAAAUUUUGAUGCUGAAAGACUUGGAAACCAUGCUGUCGACCACGUCGAGAAGCUGAGUAACAUUCUGCUUUUACAAUGGCACCUCUUAAUAAAAGGAACUUAAGCCAUCCAAUCUAGGGCUUCCAUCAAAUCAUGCAGGCUACAUGGAAGUUGCAUUUACCUUUGUUGUGAACAUCAUGAACACAUACACUAUUUGAGGGUUCAUGUUUACGUAGCAGUGGUUGCUGUCCAAUGUGGCGUGUUGUUGCAGCCUAUGGUGGUGAAAGAUAUCUGCAUCAAGUUGCUGUUCCCUGUGCAUCCAAGGUGCUGCUUUUGUGCUACAGUAGUGACAUCCAAUAUUGUGUUUAAUUGCUAUUUGUGUCUUCGCAGUUUACCUUUAUAUAUUGAGAAGGAACAAAAAAAAUAGUAAUACGGGGAGGUUUAUGUCAAAAAAAAAUAAACAUGUCCAGGAUGGGGGAAUGAGGAGGAAGUUGGGGUGGGGUAUUUGGUUAUGAUUUACUAAAAGAAGUGAGGUAUAUUUUUAAUGAAUAUGCAGUACUUGGUGAUAAAAUAUGUUGUUGACCUAUACCUUCCUGUCAACCUAUACCUUCCACUUACAUAUUCAUUCCUAAAACCCAAUCUCCAACAUCAAAUUUACACAAUUGUUGUAUAUUUAUAAUCAUAUUUUAUAUUUAAAUAAAUAAAAUGUUAUUGUAUAUAAAAUAUGUAACCUAUAUUUAUUCUGGAACACAUGCAAAAUAAACAAUUCAUUAAACAGA